AGUGAACGCUGGCGGCGUGCUUAACACAUGCAAGUCGAACGAGAACGGAAUAUAGCUUGCUAUAUUUGUCAGCUAAGUGGCGCACGGGUGAGUAAUGUAUAGAUAACCUGCCCUUAAGAAAGGAAUAACAGUUGGAAACGACUGCUAAUGCCCUAUAUGCCUUUAAUACAUAAGUAUGCAAGGGAAACGCUUUAGUGCUUAAGGAUGGGUCUGUAUGGUAUCAGCUUGUUGGUGAGGUAAUGGCUCACCAAGGCUAUGACGCCUAACUGGUUUGAGAGGAUGAUCAGUCACACUGGAACGGAGACACGGUCCAGACUCCUACGGGAGGCAGCAGUGGGGAAUAUUGCACAAUGGACGAAAGUCGGAUGCAGCAAGGCCGGGUGGAGGAUGACACAUUUCGGUGCGUAAACUCCUUUUAUAUAGGAAGAUAAUGACGGUACUAUAUGAAUAAGCACCGGCUAACUCCGUGCCAGCCGCCGCCGUAA
rnacentral:rRNA from 1 species